rnacentral:rRNA from 1 species
CACGUAGUUAGCCGGGGCUUCUUACUCAGGUACCGUCUGCUGACCGUAAGGUCAGUAUUUCUUCCCUGCUGAUAGAGCUUUACGUAACGAAUUACUUCUUCACUCACGCGGCGUCGCUGCAUCAGGAUUUCCCCCAUUGUGCAAUAUUCCCCACUGCUGCCUCCCGUAGGAGUCUGGGCCGUGUCUCAGUCCCAAUGUGGCCGUCCGCCCUCUCAGGCCGGCUACUGAUCGUCGCUUUGGUGGGCCGUUACCCCGCCAACUGGCUAAUCAGACGCGGAUCCAUCGUAUACCGUCAAAAGUUUUAACUUUUGCUUUUCACACUGCUUCAUGCAAAGCUGUGCGCUUAUGCGGUAUUAGCACCUAUUUCUAAGUGUUAUCCCCCUGUAUACGGCAGGUUAUCCACGCGUUACUCACCCGUCCGCCACUAACUCAUAUAUCACUAGGUUUCAAUACGAGUCCGUUCGACUUGCAUGUGUUAAGCACGCCGCCAGCGUUCAU